GGGAGGGAGGGAGGGAGAGAGAGAGAGAGAGAGAGAGAGAGAGAGAGGCACGUAGGCAGGCAGGCAGGCAGGCAAGCAGAAACAAAAUCUCUCUCUCUCUCUCUCUCUCUCUCUCUCUCUCACACACACACA